rnacentral:rRNA from 1 species
UACGGAAUGUGGCAAACGUUAUUCGGAAUCACUGGGCUUAAAGAGUCCGUAGGCGGCUUGUUAGGUGAGGUGUGAAAGCCCUCGGCUCAACCGAGGAAUUGCGCUUCAAACUGUCGGGCUCGAGGGAGAUAGAGGUGAGCGGAACUGAUGGUGGAGCGGUGAAAUGCGUUGAUAUCAUCAGGAACACCAGAGGCGAAGGCGGCUGCACUGGGUCUCUUCUGACGCUGAGGAACGAAGCUAGGGGAGCAAACGGGG